UUCCCCACAAUUGCUCUCACUAAAAACCUCACAAAACCCCUUCCCAAAGUGACACCGAAGAGAGCGGCGAGAGAGAGAGAGAGAGAGAGAGAGACUUCAUAGACACACAAACUCGGACCCCGGAGUGGAGGAGCGAAAUGACGACCCAAUUGCCGGACGAUUUUAAGUGCCCGAUUUCGCUCGAAAUAAUGUCCGACCCGGUUAUCCUCUCAUCGGGCCACACAUUCGACCGGUCCUCAAUCCAACGGUGGCUAGACGCCGGACACCGCUCCUGCCCAGUUACCAAACUACCCCUCCCCGACAAUCCAGUCCUCAUCCCCAACCACGCCCUCCGUAGCCUCAUUUCCAAUUAUACCCUCCUCUCUCCUCCCAAGCAACGGCCCUGCCCCGAGCCCCAAACCCUAGUCUACGCCCUCACCGCUACGUCAUCCUCUCUCGACUCCAAGCUCGACGCGCUCGACCAGCUCGCCCGGCUCUCCAAGCGUGACUCGGCGUUUCGCCGAAAAAUCACCGAGUCGGGGGCUUUGUCGGCCGUUCUCGGCUGUGUUGGCUCCGACAACCCGGUCCUCCAGCAGAAAUCGCUCUCUCUGCUGCUUAACCUCAGCCUUGACGACGACAACAAGGUGGGUCUCGUCGCAGAGGGCGCGAUCGCCCGAGUCGUCGCCGCUCUUCAAGCCGGCUCGGCCGAUUCGCGCGCGGUAGCGGCGACGAUUUUGACGAGUUUGGCGGUGAUGGAGGUCAACAAGGCGACGAUCGGGGCGUAUCCACAUGCGAUUCGGGUCUUGGUUUCGCUUCUUCGGGACGGGAAAGGACGAGAGAAGAAGGAGGCGGCGACGGCGCUCUACGCGCUCUGCUCGUUUCCCGAUAAUCGGCGGAGAGCGGUUCAGUGUGGGGCGGUGCCGAUUCUGGUGAGAAUCGCCGAGUCGGGGCUAGAGAGGGCGGUAGAGGUGUUGGGUCUUCUGGCGAAGAGCAAGGAAGGAAGAGAGGCGAUGGAGAGGUUCAAUGGGUGCGUGAAGGUUUUGGUGAGAGUUGUGAGGAGUGGGAGCUCCAGAGGAGUUGAGUACGCUUUGCUGACAUUGAAUUCGCUGUGUUGUUAUAGCGAAGACAUGUGCGGGGCGGCGAGGAGAGAAGGGGCUUUGGAUUUGUGUAUGGGAUUGGUGGAGGAUGAGAAUGAGAAAAUUAGGCGAAACGCUUCGGGUUUGGUUCAGGUUCUGCGUGGGAAUCAAUCCAUCCGGUGAUUUUGUGAAGUGGGAAAGAUUCGAUUUUGUGAUCGCUUUUGGAGGCUGUCAUUGCGAGAGCUUGUGCCUCACAGGCUGCUUUAUGUUCUUAAAACCCUUCUAUGUUUUAUUCCUCUGAUAUUUUGGAUGGGAUUUGAACAAAAUAGCAAGGAUUAGGAGCUAUGUUGACUCAAAAACAGGGGGCGAGUUACCUGGAGAAACAAACUUUUAGCAUUGAAGGUCUGUGUCCGUAAGAUUUAUUUAAGAUGCAUUUCGCCAUAGUUAUCUACUUAUUUUUGGGUUAUAAGGUCGCUUGGGGUAUGCAACAUGAUAUUCCUCUAAAUUUUAGGAUUUGAUUUUAAAAAUGGGCAUCAGACUUCAUCUAAUUGUUGGCUAUAUUUGUGUGAACGUGCAUAACAUGCUGCAAGGUUAAUUGGGCAUCAGAGAUAUGAGCUGACGUACAUAGUAGAUGAUGACCAUGGCCAUGUGCUCUUAAAGGCUCCGUAGUGUGGACAGAUAUUUAUUUCCAUGCUACAUGAGUUGGCUGAACUUGUGGUGGACGAUAUGCUCCUGGUAGUGUGGGGUUCUUUGACUAUCACUCGCUAAAAAGCAUACUAUGGAGAUAUCAAAUUUGGGAAGAGCUUGAGUUUUUCCAAGCUUUUAGGAUGUCUGUCCUUCUCUUAACCCUUCCUUGUGAUCCAAGGGACCAGGGGAGUUCUUUUCAAGGCAUUUAGAGCUGUUACAAAACUUACUGCUGCUGAUGAUAAUCUUUGUCUCAAAUGACUGCUGCUUUCCAAUUUCGACCAAUUGUAACAUAGCUUCUUGCUUAGUAUUCCCUUGAUAUCAUCUAACACAAUUGAAGAAUGGCGUUUCAGCGUUGUUAAGCUCAAUCUAAUGCUGCUGUCUGCAUCAGCCUGCAAUUAGGUACGCCAGCCAGAAUGCAUAAACUUGUGGUGCAUAUUAUUUAUGUUUGUUUGAUGAAUGAUUGAAACUUUUUGAGUUGGUAGGGUUGGAUUUUGUCAAAAAUGUUGGUUUUAUCUGACAUGAGAUUCUUUGGUCAGUACCCUUUUUAGUUUAUUAGGUUGUUCAAGGUUUUUGACUCUUCUGCCUUCGGAAGAAGCAAUGAAGCUUCUUGAGCUUGAAAUGUUUA